GUCUAUGGCCAUACCACCCUAAACACACCUGAUCUCCUCUGAUCUCAAGCUAAGCAGGGUCAGGCCUGGUUAGUACUUGGAUGGGAGACAAAAACAAAACAUCUUUUUUUAAAAAAA
rfam:Erinaceus europaeus unplaced genomic scaffold scaffold00074, whole genome shotgun sequence